rnacentral:rRNA from 1 species
UACGGGGGGAGCAAGCGUUGUUCGGAUUUACUGGGCGUAAAGGGCGCGUAGGCGGUCGUGACAAGUCACUUGUGAAAUCUCCGGGCUUAACUCGGAACGGUCAAGUGAUACUGUCGGACUAGAGUACAGAAGGGGCAACUGGAAUUCUCGGUGUAGCGGUGAAAUGCGUAGAUAUCGAGAGGAACACCUGCGGCGAAGGCGGCUCUCUGGGACGGUACUGACGCUGAGACGCGAAAGCGUGGGGAGCGAACAGG